GGUCCCAUCUCCACAGCAACCCUUUGUGUUUUCAGUGAGCAGUUUGUGAGUUUUGGCAUUGAGUGCCUUCUUCCCCUGUUCCAGCCUCCUCCUGCCAUCCGGAUGGAACGAACAGGCAGGAGGACAUUAUUGAGGGACAGAGAUAAUAGUUGGAGGCAGGAGAGAUUGGAUGGCGCAGCAGUCGGGGACGAGAAGAAUGGAGGCAGAAACUGGGAGCAGUGUUUGCGGUCUUUGGAUCCUGACAGCUCACACAUUCCUCUUCGGCAGACAGGUGGUGGGUUGUUUAAUAAAUAGAGGAUUUGGUGGUGGUUGGAGCGGGUUAGUGAUGGAGGGCAGGAGUCAAAGGCCUUCGUAGAUUGUAAACAUCAGAGCCGAGCAGUCAUAAUACAGCUAUUUUCCUUCAGUGGAGGCAAAACCUGGACUCUGCUCCUUGUUAAUGACUCACUCAUUCAUCUGAGGUGCUGCUCACUGCUGUACCACAGUUUGCUCAUUGAGCCAUGAGCAUAAACUGGUGACUCUUCGUUCUUGUUUUGGCAAGUAGAUCGGUUAGAGGUAACAGAAAACCCUUGGUGCAUCACUUCAAGUCCAAGAUUCUUUACUUUUCUGUCAUGCUUCAGAUCUGCUGCUUGGAUUUAGAUCAUUGUCUUCCAGCUUCCCCCCAUUUUCACAUCCAGCUUCAUUAUCCGGCAGAUAACCUCAGGUUCACCUCCAUAACACUCUGAUAACCUCAAGACUUCAGGAUCAGUUUGGAGCCUCCAAGGUAUCCAGAUCCAGUGGUUUGCACAAAAAAAGGCCACAUCUUCAAUCCUCCUCUGUCAUGCUUCAGAGUAUAAAUGAUGUAUUUCUGUUCCAGUGUUAUUAGUUUUUACUUCAAUGUUAGCAGGUUGGUCCUAUCAAUGAUUUAAAAUACUUUUUUUGAUUUUGUGAUUUGUUCACAGCUACUUUUUCUAUAAAACAAAAAAACAACUUGUAUUUCCCCUGGCGACGCUGCCUUACAAUUGAAGUAAAAUGUUGAAAAAAGUGAAUUUUUGGAAAUGCUUUUAUGAUACUUUCUAGGUUUAUGUGAAGAAACUUUUGCUUAUCCAGUGUCUUUUUCUCUUGCCAAAUAUAAUCUGGAUCAGCAAACUUUUGACUUUUGACUCGAAAUCUGCCUUUAAAUUUCCUACCAGCUAAUAAAUGUAUCAGAGGCUGAUUAUUGGCAACUGCUGUGGUUUUUUCCCCCAUAUAUCCUGAUAAAAGUUAUUGUUAAACUUGUUUUUUCAAAUAAACCUGUGUAAAAUAAUGAAUUGCAAUAUAGUUUUUCUGUUGUUGCAGAUAAAUGUCAUGUUUGACUGUGGAAAAAACGAUAAAGA